rnacentral:rRNA from 1 species
ACUAGCCUCAGCACAUAGGUUGCCUUCAUCCAUCUUGCCUGAAUGCAGAAGCUAUGCCAGUCAGUUCUGGUUAGUGCAUGAAUGAGAGAUUGCUUGGGAAUGCCAGGUGCUGUAAGAU